UACGGAGGGGGCGAGCGUUAUUCGGAAUUAUUGGGCGUAAAGGGCGCGUAGGCGGCUGUACAAGUCAAAGGUGAAAUCCCUCGGCUCAACUGAGGAACUGCCUUUGAAACUGUACGGCUUGAGGCCGGGAGGGGGUAGCGGAAUUCCCAGUGUAGCGGUGAAAUGCGUAGAUAUCAGGAGGAACACCGGUGGCGAAGGCGGGUCUCUGGGCCGAUACUGACGCUGAGGAGCGAAAGCGUGGGGAGCGAACAGG
rnacentral:rRNA from 1 species